AUGACCCGUCCCUGCUCCGCGGCGUCUCAGUGCGGGGCGCGUCAUCCAGCCCAUGCCCCCCGACGAGCCCUCCGUGCUCCGCUUCAACGAGAGCCUCGCCUUCGAGCCCGUCGCCUCCCGCGACAGCCUCGUCGUGCUCCGCCGGCGCCCCCGCGCGCUCUUCAGGCAGUCCAUCGAGAAGGGGCGAGUUCAGGGCAGCCGGUCUUCAACGUGCCGAGGGGGGUGAGGGAGUCCUGGAUUAGGGGGUGUCCGGAUGGCCGGACUAUACCUUCAGCCGGACUCUUGGACUGUGAAGAUACAAGAUUGAAGACUUCGUCCCGUGUCCGGAAGGGACUUUCCUUGGCGUGGAAGGCAAGCUUGGCGAUACGGAUAUGUAGAUCUCCUACCAUUGUAACCGACUCUAUGUAA
rnacentral:rRNA from 1 species